GCCUUUCAUAUUCAGUGGCAGAGCACUGGUUUGAAAAACCAGGGUCGUGAGUUCGAUCCUCACUGGUGGCU